AGAGUUUGAUCAUGGCUCAGAAUCAACGCUGGCGGCGCGCCUAACACAUGCAAGUCGAACGAGAAAGUGGAGCAAUCCAUGAGUACAGUGGCGUACGGGUGAGUAACACGUGGGUAAUCUACCUCUUAGUGGGGAAUAACUCUGGGAAACCGGAGCUAAUACCGCAUAAGCUCGAGAGAGGAAAGCAGCAAUGCGCUGAGAGAGGAGCCCGCGGCCGAUUAGCUAGUCGGCAGGGUAAAAGCCUACCAAGGCAGAGAUCGGUAGCCGGCCUGAGAGGGCACACGGCCACACUGGCACUGAAACACGGGCCAGACUCCUACGGGAGGCAGCAGUGGGGAAUCUUGCACAAUGGGGGAAACCCUGAUGCAGCGACGCCGCGUGAGCGAUGAAGCCCUUCGGGGUGUAAAGCUCUUUCGGCAGGGAAGAUGGUGACGGUACCUGCAGAAGCAGCUGCGGCUAACUACGUGCCAGCAGCCGCGGUAAUACGUAGGCAGCGAGCGUUGUUCGGAGUUACUGGGCGUAAAGGGUGUGUAGGCGGUUGUUUAAGUUUGGUGUGAAAUCUCCCGGCUCAACUGGGAGGGUGCGCCGAAUACUGAGCGACUAGAGUGCGGGAGAGGAAAGUGGAAUUCCUGGUGUAGCGGUGAAAUGCGUAGAUAUCAGGAGGAACACCGGUGGUGUAGACGGCUUUCUGGACCGUAACUGACGCUGAGACACGAAAGCGUGGGUAGCAAACAGGAUUAGAUACCCUGGUAGUCCACGCCCUAAACGAUGCAUAUUUGGUGUGGGCAGUUCAUUCUGUCCGUGCCGGAGCUAACGCGUUAAAUAUGCCGCCUGGGGAGUACAGUCGCAAGGCUGAAACUCAAAGGAAUUGACGGGGGCCCGCACAAGCGGUGGAGCAUGUGGUUCAAUUCGACGCAACGCGAAGAACCUUACCUGGGCUCGAACGGCUGGUCAACGGAGGUGGAAACACUUUUACCCCGCAAGGGGGUCCAGUCGA
rnacentral:rRNA from 1 species